rnacentral:rRNA from 1 species
CAAACGACUCUCGGCAAUGGAUAUCUCGGCUCUUGCAUCGAUGAAGAACGUAGUGAAAUGCGAUACUUGGUGUGAAUUGCAGAAUCUCGUGAACCAUUGAGUCUUUGAACGCAAGUUGUGCCCGAGGCCUUGUGGCCGAGGGCGCGCCUGCUUGGGUGUCAUGG